rnacentral:rRNA from 1 species
UACAGAGGUGGCAAGCGUUGUUCGGAAUUACUGGGCGUAAAGGGCGCGUAGGCGGUUCGUUAAGUCCUGUGUGAAAUCCCCUGGCUCAACUGGGGAACUGCACAGGAAACUAGCGGGCUUGAGUUCGGGAGAGGGAAGCGGAAUUCCGGGUGUAGCGGUGAAAUGCGUAGAUAUCCGGAGGAACACCGGUGGCGAAGGCGGCCUCCUGGACCGACACUGACGCUGAGGCGCGAAAGCUAGGGGAGCAAACGGG